AAAGUAAUUGGACCUUUUUUAUUGGUAUUUCGAUAAAAAAUAUAAAAAAAAUUGUCCGGUUGAAAAAUAACAAUUCCUUGCAAUUGUUUAAACAAUUUCGGUUUAAACAAUAUGGCACCGGGUUGACAAUAAUUGAUGGUAAAUACGAGUAUUAUUGGUUUGAUGGUCCUCAAAGCCCAUCCUUUGAAGAAUUAUCUUCUCAAUUGCAAGAUUUAGAUACCACGGAAGAUCAGAAUGAAGAAGAUACUGAUGAAGAUGAGGAGAGUGAUGCCAGUAGUGAGGAUGAAUGUUUUUCUGAUGAGUCAGAUGAAAAUUAAUUACUUUUUUAUAUAAAAAUAUCUACUUUUUCAUGUAUGUUACAUAAUAAAGUUGAUUUAUUUCAA